rnacentral:rRNA from 1 species
GUGUCAGCCGCCGCGGUAAUACGGAGGAUGCAAGCGUUAUCCGGAAUCAUUGGGUUUAAAGGGUCCGUAGGCGGUUAGAUAAGUCAGUGGUGAAAUCCGGCAGCUUAACUGUCGAACUGCCAUUGAUACUGUUUGACUUGAAUUACUGUGAAGUAACUAGAAUAUGUAGUGUAGCGGUGAAAUGCUUAGAUAUUACAUGGAAUACCAAUUGCGAAGGCAGGUUACUAAUGGUUUAUUGACGCUGAUGGACGAAAGCGUGGGGAGCGAACAGGAUUAGAUACCCUGGUAGUCCACGCUGUAAACGAUGGAUACUAGCUGUUGGGAGUAAUUUCAGUGGCUAAGCGAAAGUGAUAAGUAUCCCACCUGGGGAGUACGAACGCAAGUUUGAA